rnacentral:rRNA from 1 species
GACAAAACCGGGGAAGGCAGCGGCGGUAAUGCGGAGGGUGCGAGAGUUACUCGGAAUCACUGGGCGUAAAGAGGGUGUAGGCGGGUGAAUAAGGCAGAAGUGAAAGCCAAUAGCUCAACUAUUGAACUGCUUUGGAAACUGUAUACCUAGAAUGUGGGAGAGGCAGAUGGAGUUUCUGGUGUAGGGGUAAAAUCCGUAGAGAUCAGAAGGAAUACCGAUUGCGAAGGCGAUCUGCUGGAACAUUAUUGACGCUGAGACGCGAAAGCGUGGGGAGCAAACAGGAUUAGAUCCCCUGUAGUC